AUACAGAGGGUGCGAGCGUUAAUCGGAAUUACUGGGCGUAAAGCGCGCGUAGGCGGCUUAUUAAGUCAGAUGUGAAAUCCCCGGGCUCAACCUGGGAACUGCAUCUGAUACUGGUAAGCUAGAGUUUUGGAGAGGGAAGUAGAAUUUCAGGUGUAGCGGUGAAAUGCAUAGAGAUCUGAAGGAUUACCAGUGGCGAAGGCGACUUCCUGGCCAAAAACUGACGCUGAGGUGCGAAAGCGUGGGUAGCAAACGGGAUUAGAUACCCUAGUAGUCC
rnacentral:rRNA from 1 species